rnacentral:rRNA from 1 species
UACGUAGGGCGCGAGCGUUGUCCGGAAUUAUUGGGCGUAAAGAGCUCGUAGGCGGUCUGUCGCGUCGGCUGUGAAAACUCGGGGCUCAACCCGAGCCUGCAGUCGAUACGGGCAGACUAGAGUGCUGUAGGGAGACUGGAAUUCCUGGUGUAGCGGUGAAAUGCGCAGAUAUCAGGAGGAACACCGGUGGCGAAGGCGGGUCUCUGGGCAGUAACUGACGCUGAGGAGCGAAAGCGUGGGGAGCGAACAGG